GGGAUGCAGUGAUUCCAGUAGGAUGGGCUGGAGAGGUGCCUCCAUGAUCCAAAAGAGCAGAACUGUGAGAAUUCCAGUGAAACCUGGAGUGGGGUUGGUCAGGCCAAAGCAAUAGCCUUUGAAAAUGGAAAGUUGUGAGGGAUUCUCACUCUCUGUAGAAAAACUGAUGAAAUUUUGCUUGUUAAAAUAAUGUGAAUCUAAAUGUAAUGCUCCAAUUUUGCCAGUCAAGCAGGCAAAUGGAAGGCUAUCCCAGUUAGUCCAAGACCUCAGAGCUAUAAAUAAUAGAGUAGAAGAUAUACAAGCAGUUGUAGCGAAUCCUUACACUUUGCUAACUCCCCUAAAUGAAAGUUUAAUGUUUCACAGUAUUAGAUUUGAAAGCUGCCUUUUUCUGUCUCCCUUUGAGUUGUGAAAGUCAAGAGCUUUUUGCUUUCAGAUGGGAAAAUCCAAAGACAGGGAGGAAAACCCAGCUGACUUUGGUGGUCCUCCUGCAGGGGUUUAAAAAUAUCCCCCCAGUAUUUGGAACUCAAUUGGCAAAGGAACUGGAGGAAUGGAAAAGCCAAAACCCUCUUGGAGCCUUAUUCCAGUGUGUGGAUAUUUUGACAGCCACUGAUGCUGAGCAGCAAUGUUGGGAUCAGACACUAUGGAAUUUCCUUGGACUGGGUGGAUAUGGGGUGUCCCAAACACAAAGUGCAAGUAGUCCAGACCCCAGGAGCCUCCCUGGGCUUUGGAAUUCUCCAAGGACAAGGGAGGCUGGGCCAGGAAGGAAAGAAGCAACCUGUCAACUGCCCCAGCCCCAGCAAAGGAAGCCCAGAGCAGGAUUGCUUCCAGACUAGAGGAGAAGUGUAUUCGGGCAGAGCUGACUCAGGAGACAGCCCCUGGGAAAGUCCUGGUUGGGAAUUGUUUCCCAGUGGGGGCAGCUUUGUCCAGCAUGGAAAACAAUUCUCUGGAUGCACAGGAACUCCCCCAGCAGGUCAUGGAAUUGGGGGCACUCCUCUGCAGUGCCUCAGCCCAGAAAGCAGAACCAAUUGUGCUCACUCCAGCUUGGGGAUUGAGUCAAGGAGAACAAGUUAAUCCUUGGACUUGCUUGAAGAUCUCCAGAAACCAACAGAGGCUGCUGUCCUGCAUUGCAGAGUGCACCAAGAGGGGGAGACCAAAGCAGAACUGGGGAAUCAUUUGGCCCAAAAGGCUGCCAAAGAGGCUGCAGAAAAAGGCACUUUAGAGAGUAAAGUUUUGUCUUUAAUAACCCUGACAGAGAUACCUCUCCCAGUAGAAACAAAUGAGUCUAGUGCUAAGGAUUGUCAGCUCAUUGAAACCUUAGAGCAAAAUUUGCUCCAGGAGGCUGGGCAGUUACCCCAGGUGGGCAAAUAAUAGUCCCUGAACCAGUCUGGUGUGACCUGGUGGAUGGGGAACACGAGGGUAUUCCUUGGAGUGAAGCAAAUCUUUGAAACAUUUGCACAAGUGGGUUAUAAGUCCAAAACUACCCCCAAUUGUAGAAGCAGUGAGUCAGCAGUGUGGUGUGUGUAAGAGAAAUGAUCCAACCCCUGCCAAUGCAGUGGGAAUAGGGGAUGUAAAGUGUGGAAAUGUUCCAGGUGAAUGUUGGCAGAUGGAUUUGACUGAAUUGCCCAGAAAAGGGGGGUGUAAAGAUCUCCUAGUCUUGGGGGAUACCUUCUCUGGGUGGCCAGAGGCUUUUCCUUGUUGCACUAAGAAGGUUUGGAAAGAGACUGCAAUGCUGUUCAAUGCAAUCCUCCCUGUAUUUGGGAUGCCUUUGGGAAUGUCAUCAGACAGAGGUUCCCACUUGAUUGCAGAAACAAAAUGCUUCACUCUUGUUUUGCUCUUCUGAACACAGUUCAAACACUGUUGACAUGGGAGGAAAAUUUACAUCACUUUUUAGUGCCAAAUGUGAUCCAAGUGUUGUCUAAAAGUGUAUGUAUUAAGUAAGCAAGACUCUGUAAUGAAUCUGUAAACUGUGUGUGUAAUGUAAAGCCCUGUCUGGCUGUCCCUGAAGUGCUGAGGCUGAACAACAGCCCCUGAGCCAAAGCUGAGCUCUAGAUGAACCUUCCAACCUAAUGGGCUGUGUCUCCAUGUAUCUGCUCAUCAGCUAAAACUGGGUCUAUUUGUUGGUAAAAAUGUGGUGUGAUGGGACUCCACCUGUGUAUCUGCUCCUGAGCAAACAGGUGUGCUUAUUAGUCAGAUCUGUUAGUCUGGGCUCAUUAGUGAAUCCUGUUUGUACCUGUUCAUUAACAAAAUAUGUCUGAUUGUGAGCAAAAUGUGAUCUUUAUCCUUCUGUAUCUGGAGAGUGGUCGAGGCCAUGGCAGUCGAUGUCUGGCCUUGUUUGGCAGCAGAUGGGGCAGGGGGAGCCUUGGUUUGGGAGAAGUAGAACAUUGCUCCCAAGAUUCUGCUCUGGCCAAAUAAGGAACAAUAGAAUCUUAGAGAAGUCCUGGAGAAUUGGAUCAGGGCUGGAACUCAA